GGCCCAGGCUGCAAGUACUUCGGGAUCCUCCUGUGGCCUUGUACUCAGCUCAGAGAUGCAGUGUGAAUCUAAAACACCUGGAAAGCUCUAGGAUUCCAAUUUGCCUCCAGACCUGGACCGGAAACCCAUUCUGCUGGACCUGCAAAGAGCGGGCAAGAGCUGGACAGUGACCUCUACAGGGCCAGGCAGUCUUUCAGGGGUUGGCCCUUUCUGAGACCAAGGAAUAUGCUGCCGCUAGAGCUGACUCCACCAGACCCAGACACACGGGACCAUCAAAAGUGCAAUAGUGUAACUGGGCAGGUAAGCAGGCAGGCAAGCAUGAGUGCGAGCGCGACAGACACACACACACACACACACACACACACACACACGCCUGAUGUGUCCACACAAACCCUAGGCACACAUUCCAGCACUGACACAAGUGUGCUUUCAUCCACUCCGGGAACACUUGAGUAGUGCGUUCAUACGGAUAACCCCAGACAGACAUGCAAGCACAAAUACAUACUCACACACUGACAGAAAAGCAUCUAUAU